rnacentral:rRNA from 1 species
UACGUAGGGUGCAAGCGUUAAUCGGAACUACUGGGCGUAAAGCGUGCGCAGGCGGUUGUGCAAGACCGAUGUGAAAUCCCCGGGCUUAACCUGGGAAUGGCAUUGGUGACUGCACGGCUAGAGUGUGUCAGAGGGGGGUAGAAUUCCACGUGUAGCAGUGAAAUGCGUAGAGAUGUGGAGGAAUACCGAUGGCGAAGGCAGCCCCCUGGGAUAACACUGACGCUCAUGCACGAAAGCGUGGGGAGCAAACAGG